rnacentral:rRNA from 1 species
GACGGACGCUGGCGGCGUGCCUAAUACAUGCAAGUCGAGCGAAGUUUUUCUGGUGCUUGCACUAGAAAAACUUAGCGGCGAACGGGUGAGUAACACGUAAGGAACCUGCCUCAUAGACUGGGACAACUAUUGGAAACGAUAGCUAAUACCGGAUAACAGUAUUUCUCGCAUGAGAGAUAUUUAAAAGUUGGUUAUGCUAACACUAUGAGAUGGCUUUGCGGUGCAUUAGCUAGUUGGUGGGGUAAAGGCCCACCAAGGCGACGAUGCAUAGCCGACCUGAGAGGGUGAUCGGCCACACUGGGACUGAGACACGGCCCAGACUCCUACGGGAGGCAGCAGUAGGGAAUCUUCCGCAAUGGGCGAAAGCCUGACGGAGCAACGCCGCGUGAGUGAAGAAGGAUUUCGGUUCGUAAAGCUCUGUUGUUAGGGAAGAAUGGAUAUGUAGUAACUAUACAUGUAAGAGACGGUACCUAACCAGAAAGCCACGGCUAACUACGUG